rnacentral:rRNA from 1 species
UGAGGAAUAUUGGUCAAUGGACGGAAGUCUGAACCAGCCAAGUAGCGUGCAGGAUGACGGCCCUAUGGGUUGUAAACUGCUUUUGUAUGGGGAUAAAGUUAGGGACGUGUCCCUAUUUGCAGGUACCAUACGAAUAAGGACCGGCUAAUUCCGUGCCAGCAGCCGCGGUAAUACGGAAGGUCCAGGCGUUAUCCGGAUUUAUUGGGUUUAAAGGGAGCGUAGGCUGGAGAUUAAGUGUGUUGUGAAAUGUAGACGCUCAACGUCUGAAUUGCAGCGCAUACUGGUUUCCUUGAGUACGCACAACGUUGGCGGAAUUCGUCGUGUAGCGAUGAAAUGCUUAGAUAUGACGAAGAACUCCGAUUGCGAAGGCAGCUGACGGGAGCGCAACUGACGCUUAAGCUCGAAGGUGCGGGUAUCAAACAGG